rnacentral:rRNA from 1 species
GACGAACGCUGGCGGCGUGCUUAACACAUGCAAGUCGAGCGGUAAGGCCCUUUCGGGGUACGACGAGCGGCGAACGGGUAGGAGUAACAACGUGGGUGGACCUCGCCCUCCAGCUCUGGGAGUAAAGCCUCGGGAAACCGGGGUACGUAAUACCGGAUAUGACUCCAUGACGCAUGUUGUGGGGUGGAAAGCCUUGUGCGGCUGAGGAUGGGCCCGCGGCCUAUCAGCUUGUUGGUGGGGUGAUGGCCUACCAAGGCGACGACGGGUAGCCGGCCUGAGAGGGCGACCGGCCACACUGGGACUGAGACACGGCCCAGACUCCUACGGGAGGCAGCAGUGGGGAAUCUUGCGCAAUGGGCGAAAGCCUGACGCAGCGACGCCGCGUGAGGGAUGAC